GCUUGUGUACCAUAGUGGUUUGAGAGUUGGACUACAACUCUAGAAACCAGGGUUAGAUUCCCAGCUUGGCCA